rnacentral:rRNA from 1 species
GACGAACGCUGGCGGCGUGCUUAACACAUGCGAGUCGAACGGAAAGGCCCUGCUUUUGUGGGGUGCUCGAGUGGCGAACGGGUGAGUAACACGUGAGUAACCUGCCCUUGACUUUGGGAUAACUUCAGGAAACUGGGGCUAAUACCGGAUAGGAGCUCCUGCUGCAUGGUGGGGGUUGGAAAGUUUCGGCGGGUGGGGAUGGACUCGCGGCUUAUCAGCUUGUUGGUGGGGUAGUGGCUUACCAAGGCUUUGACGGGUAGCCGGCCUGAGAGGGUGACCGGCCACAUUGGGACUGCGAUACGGCCCAGACUCCUACGGGAGGCAGCAGUGGGGAAUAUUGCACAAUGGGCGGAAGCCUGAUGCAGCAACGCCGCGUGCGGGAUGACGGCCUUCGGGUUGUAAACCGCUUUCGCCUGUGACGAAGCGUGAGUGACGGUAAUGGGUAAAGAAGCACCGGCUAACUACGUG